GGUCUCGUGGCCCAAUGGUUAAGGCGCUUGACUACGAAUCAAGAGAUUCCAGGUUCGACUCUUGGCGGGAUCG
rnacentral:tRNA from 2 species